rnacentral:rRNA from 1 species
GGGGAAAAUUAAUAAUUUAAGUUUAAUAAAAAAAAUUUUAAUAUUAAAAAGAAAAAAUGGGGGUUUAAGUAUUUUUAAUAGAAAAAAUUAAUAUUUUUAUAGUUAAAUAUUACUGUAAAGGAAAUUAUAAAUAAAUGAAAUAAAAUUAAUUAAAAAGUAAAUUUUAAUUAUUGUAUCUUGUGUAUCAGAGUUUAUUAAAUAAUAAUAAUUUAUUUAAAUAAAUCUCGAAUUUAAAAGAGUUAAUUAAUUAAUAAAGUUAAUGUUGAAUAAUUAUUUUAAAUAAUUAAUUAGAAAUGAAAUGUUAGUCGUUUUUAAAUAUAUCUAGUUUUUUCAGAAAAAAAUUUAAUUUUAAAUUUAAAUAAUUUUAUAAUUAUUUAAUUAAUUAUAAAAAUUUAAAUUUUAAUAUUUUAGGGGAUAAGCUUUAAAUUAAAAAUUUAUAAUUAAUUAUUUUAAAAUUAAAAUUUUUAAGAUUUAUAUUGUUUAAAAAUUAUAAUUUAUUAUAAAAAAUUUUAUUUUUAAUAAAAUUUAAAAUAAAAAAAUUUAAAUUUUUAUGAAGAAAAAUAAUUUACAAUUAAAUAAAAUUAGAAAUAAUAAUAAAAUUAGUAUAAUAUAAUAAGUUAAAUUAAAUUUAUAAUUAAGUAAAUUAAAGGAAUUUGGCAAAAUUUUAUAUUCACUUGUUUAUCAAAAACAUGUCUUUUUGAUAAUAAUUUAAAGUCUAAUCUGCCCACUGAUAUAAAUAUUAAAGGGCUGCAGUAUAUUGACUGUACAAAGGUAGCAUAAUCAUUAGUCUUUUAAUUGAAGACUUGUAUGAAAGAUUUGAUGAAAUAUAAACUGUCUCUAAUUUAUAAUUAGAAAUUAAUUUUUUAGUUAAAAAGCUAAAAUAAAAUUAAAAGACGAGAAGACCCUAUAGAGUUUUAUAUUUUAUUUUUUUUAAUAUAAAAAAUAUAAUUAAAUUGUGUUAAGUAAAUAGAAUAUUAUAUUGGGGUGAUAGAAAAAUUUAAUAAACUUUUUUUGAAAAAUUAACAUAAAUAAGUGAUUAAUUGAUCCAUUAAUAGUGAUUAAAAGAAAAAAUUACCUUAGGGAUAACAGCGUAAUAUUUUUUUUUAGUACAAAUAAAAAAGAAAGUUUGCGACCUCGAUGUUGGAUUAAGAUAAAAUUUAAAUGCAAAAGUUUAAAAUUUUGAUCUGUUCGAUCAUUAAAAUCUUACAUGAUCUGAGUUCAAACCGGUGUAAGCCAGGUUGGUUUCUAUCUUUAAUAAAAUAAAAUAUUUUAGUACGAAAGGAUCAAAUAUUUAAAAUAAUUUUAUUUAUUGGAAUAUUAAUAAUAUAAUUUU